GAACAUCUCUUUAUUACAUGAGCUGUAAUGUGGAGAUGAUGUGGAGGGAGAUGAGUGACGAGACAUCAGACGCACAAAGCUCCAAAGUUUGCUCCUGAGGAUCGUGGGAGGGUGACAGUCAGAGGUCAGCCUUCAGCUUUCAUUCACUUCUCUCUCAACCCGAACAAUGACAACGUGUGAGGCAAAGUUUCUGGGAAUGUUUCGUCUGUUAUGUUUCUGCCUAAUUCGAUUGUAGACUUAUGUAAAACAUGCAAGAAUGAAUCAUUUACCAGAAGCAUUUAACGUUUUAAAAGCUAUUUUGGUUAAAAACCGUUCAGUCAUGUGGCUUAAAUGUUCUCUACUGAUGUAAAAACUGAGGAGGUGAACAUAUAGCAGUUGCGAUGACCCCACGGGUGUAAUUUGUUACAGUGCGGUGGUGAAACUUGAGGUAAUUUUGUAAAAGGGAAUAACUUAAUUAUGAAAAGAAGCGCAGGCUUCCUUUGAUCCGUGGUGUAAAGCACAUGUUAGAUGGCCUGUGACAGGCAACAUCUUCAUACACUUUGAGGGAGAGGAGUUUCCAGGGAGGCCUGUCAGUGACUCUGUAUCUGUCUGCAUCUUUGUACGUUUGAUGUUGUUGCACCCUUUAAACUUCAUAGCCGGGUUCAAGUAAGAGACUGUUGAGAUUUAUUAGAUAAGAAAAAAAAGAAAAAAAAAAAGAAAAAACACAAACUAGCAGAAACUACAACGUGUGCUAACUUCAAAAACAGCUUAAAAAAUUAAGUGAGAUCAAAUUAGCCUCGUUAGAUUAAAUAAAAAAACAAGUGAAGUAACAGGAUGACUAAACUAAAACACACAAAACUUCAACAGAGACAAAUCGACAAGUUGAAAUAGUUUACGUUGGACCUUGGUCGACUUUUUUAAAAGUUCAUAGUGCAACAAUUAAUUCAUUAAUCAACCACUUCAAACCCUUUUCUAUUUCUACAUCACGUCAAAGUCUACACAUCUUCUUUUAACGGCCCCGACCAGUCGUAUUGUUAGUUUCAAACUUGUCUAUGGCACGGUUGUUGUGGCUUCGUCAGGUGAGCUCAGCGGAGGUGGUCACAGUAGAGUUUUGCCAAGAGUUCGUCGUUAUGUCCUCCCAUGCUUUGUUUGUUGGCCAUGUUUAUACCUGAGUUGUAAAAAAAAAAAAAGAGACGUUUCCGACUCAACUCAUCUCUAC